rnacentral:lncRNA from 1 species
CUGGGUAGUUCAAAGGGCUGGUCUGUGUACUUUUCCCUUCUCUUUCCAGUGAUAUAGGUAACUUCUGCUUUUUGUUGUUGUUGCUGUUAUAAGGUGCUUCCUUUUUCAUUUUUCAGUGUUUGGAGGAUUUGGGAAGGAGUAUGUUGAAGGCUAUUUAGGAGAGGAAAAACAUAUUCUGUAGGUGGAGUGAAAGUGCUGAAAUAAGUUUUGACAGAAAUUCACACUAGCUCUGAAAUCAAAGGAUCUGGUUUCAAAUCAUAUCUCUGAAGCAUACUGUGAAGAUUGGACUUGGCUCUCCCCUGAUUGUAAUAAUGAAGCAUUUGUCUGUCUUUCCCACUUUUGUGAUCCUUUCAGAAAACCAAAGAGGUAUUUCUCUUACCUAAUGAAACUAUUUUGGAAAUGCCCAAAGGACUUCAAAACUGUGCAUACCCUUUAACUUGGUGAUACCACUACUGGAUGUGUAUUGCAAAGAGAAAAUAAAAAAAAAAAGGUGAAAGGACCUACUUGUACA